GGCCAUAUAGUAGCAGUUUCGUCCUUUCCCAUACUGAAGCACAAAUGUUGAUGUGUGGGCAAACAUCCCAAAUAUGGGGCAAUGCCCUCGACCCCUAUAGUAAAACCGUAGUUGUUAUUUUUUGGCUAAGGCCAGAAGUAAGCCGUCUUUUUUAUGGAAACAGCACUUAACGUUUUAUUUGAAAAAUAACUUAAUUUUUUAGGCUAACGCAUAUA